rnacentral:rRNA from 1 species
UACGUAGGGCGCAAGCGUUGUCCGGAAUUAUUGGGCGUAAAGAGCUCGUAGGCGGCCUGUCGCGUCUGCUGUGAAAUCCCGGGGCUCAACCCCGGGCCUGCAGUGGAUACGGGCUGGCUGGAGGCAGGCAGGGGAGAACGGAAUUCCUGGUGUAGCGGUGAAAUGCGCAGAUAUCAGGGGGAACACCGGUGGCGAAGGCGGCCUGCUGGGCAGUGGCUGACGCUGAGGCGCGACAGCGUGGGGAGCAAACAGG